UCCCCUCAACCGGCAGAAGCUAGACAGC
rnacentral:piRNA from 1 species